UGUCUGUUUGAUCAAGAUGCCGCUGUACGGAGGAGCCUGGUUAAUCUGUACUCUGAAUACUCUGCAGUUUUGGUCGUCCUAUUAUGGGAAACAUUGACAUCGAGGGAGUGACACAAUUUCACCUAACUUGUACCUAGGAUGGCACCACUGUCCUCUGGAUCGAUCGGGCAGACUGGACCUGUGUCGAAUAGAGUUUGAGGUGGCCUCAUUGAAGCCUACAAGACAGUUAAAGGGAUAGUCAUGCAGGGUAGAUGUAGGUAAGAGGUUUCCCUAGUUGGAGAGCUCAGUUUCAGGAAGUACAUCAUCCCUAAAGUUUUGAAGAAUCAACACUUUUUUUGGCUUCUGUUUUGUGAUAGACUGACACUAAAUGAAAUAUCACCAACAGAAUGAGUUAGAAUUAGAAUCCCGAAAGUGUGGAAACUGGCCCUUUUUGGCCCAACAAGUCCACACUGACCCCCUGAAGAAUAUCCCACCCAGACCUAUUCCCCUACAUUUACCCCUGACUCAUGCACCUAACUUAUACAUCCCUGAACAUUGGGCAAUUUAGCAUGUCCAGUUCAUCUAAUCUGCACAUCUUUGGAUUGGGUGAGGAAAUUGGAGCACCUGGAGGAGACCCAAGCAGACUCCAUGAGAAUGGUUCAAUUCCAGCCUCUGGUAAUUUUGUGGAAUUUGCAGUCCCUGGUGCUGAGGCAGCAAUACUAACCACUGUGCUGUCCCAAGAAAAGCAACAACAAACAGACCCUGCAUGUGCAAACCCCAAUGUCACACUUGGUCAGUGUGGGGAUUGAACUCUCUACCUUGGUGGUGUUAGUGCCAUGCUUUAACCAUCUGAGCUAACUGACAUUCAGUGCUAGGGCUCACUGAUGUUUACAGAUGUCUUGUUGGGCAAGGGUCCCUUGAAUGAAAUCUUGAGAUUACACCUAGUGAGCACAAGGAUACAACUGGGUAGAUGAAUGGUGUGGUUUGGGUAGGUGCAGGAGAAAUAAUUUUAGAUGAUUAGGUUACAGGAUCUCUUCUAAGAUGGUCUGCACCUUAACUAGAAUUGGAAAACAUGUCCCUGCUAAACUAUUUUACCUCCUACAGCACUAAUGCAGUGGGACCGGAGACAGCAUUAAUUCAGUCGUACAACUGUAUAUCUUAACCAUGGCACAGAAUUCAACCAUGUUUCUCAAGGGGGUAAGGCAAGGAUGGAUGGCCUCUACUGUUGGAAGGAAAGCAGAUGAGUAGGACAUAUUUGGGAUAGCAAUAUGGAAUUGUAAUGUGGUUGUAGGAGGGACAAGGCUGGCAACUCAACAUUGUGGUAUAGGAUACUCAGGAGAGGGAAGGUGCAAAAGUGGAGAUGUCUCCUUUUUCAGUUAGGAAGUCAGUUAUGCAGCAAAGAUGAUAUCGUUGAAGAGUCAAUGUUUGUGGGUAGAGUUUCAGGAUCGAGUGCAGUCAGUGAAGGCUUCCAAGCAGUCAACAGGCAAUUGAGGAGCAGAUAUCAGUGAAUUGACUGCAUAUGUAAUAACAAUUGGUAACUAUAUUAAGAGAUGAGUGACAAGGAAAUAAGGGUCCCUGAGCAAAUUCAGUUGUUGGUAGCUGUAUGUCAUCUGGUAGCUCCCCUGCAGCCAAUGUGGUUUUGCUUUGCAAGCAUGGUGAUAGAAAGGGACAAGGUGCUAUAGAGCCUUUCCUAUAGUAGGGAAACUAUUGGAGAAAAUACAAGCUAAUUAAUCUCAAUUCUGUGGGGGGAGGUGUUGGCAGAGGGAAAGGAAGGAGAAAGGACUGGAGAUCAGAGUUGCGAGUAUGGUGCUGGAAAGGCAUUGCAAGUCAGGCAGCAUCAGGAGCAGGUGAAUCGACAUUUCAGGUAUAAGCCUUUCAUCAGGAAUGAGGAAGUGUUGAUGCAGAAAUCAGACAGUCAAAUUGUUGGAGAUACUUCAGUGGUCAAAACAUCUGUGGAGAGAAAGUAACAUUUUGGGUGCAGUGACUUUUUAUCAGAACUGAUUGGUAGGAAAGGGUGUGGUAUGUGAUGAAUGGAGCCCAGAGAGAAGCAGUUGGGUGAAAAAGAGAUGGGUGAAGGUCAGCUUGGGAGAAUGAAUACCUGCUAAAGGGAUCAUUAGCUGAUAAAUCCAUCAAUAAUUGUCAUAGCAAAACAAAAAUCAUAGCAAGGUAUUAUUUGCAGCAUUAGGCUGAAACAUGAUUGCUUGAAACUACACAUAGGUAACCAAUUGUCUUUUCUUUCCAGCAAUAAUUUGGGUGGCUCAGUGGUUAGCACUGCUGCUUCACAACACCAAGGACCCAGGUUCAAUGCCAGACUCUGGCAACUGUCUGCAUGCGUUUCCUCAGGGUGCUCUGGUUUGCUCCACAAUCCAAAGAUGUGCAGGUCAGGUAAAUUGGACAAGCUAAAUUGCCCAUACUGUUCGGUGCAUUAGUCAAGGGGGGUGGGUUGUUCUUUGGAGUGUCGGUGUGGACUUGGCCCGAAGGGCCUGUUUCCACACUGGAGGGAAUCUAAUUAAUAUGAUGGUAGGGUCUGGGAUAUGGGUGUUAGGGUAAGGAGAUGGGAAAACAUGCUCAGGCCCUAAAAUUGUUGAACUGAGUCCAGAAGGCUGAGAUUUUGUUGUUCUAGCUUGCAUUGAGCUGCAUUGUAGCAAUCUGGAGAGAAAUGUUAGCCAGGCAACUGGAAGCUGUCACUUUUGUUGACAAUGUACAGAUGUUUGCAGAUUGGAUACCUGCAAUGACCGAGACCACAUUGUGAACAGCAAGUACAGUCAACUAAGAUUUACAUUUAGAUUACUUAGUGUGGAAACAGGCCCUUCGGCCCAACAAGUCCACACCGACCUGCGGAAGUGCAACCCACCCUGACCCAUUUCCCUACACUUACCCCUUCACCUAACAUGACAGGCAAUUUAGCAUGGCCAAUUCCCCAUACCUGCACUUUUUUGGGCUGUGGGAGGAAACCGGAGCACCCAAAGGAAACCCACACAGACACAGAAUGUGCAAACUCCGGUCAGUUGCCUGAGGAGGGUAUUGAGCCCAGGUCUCUGGCGCUGAGGCUGCAGUGCUAACCACUGUGCUUAUUUAAUGGAUUGCAGAUUAAUUUUCACCUGGAAGGUGUGUAGGGCCUUCAAUAGUGAGGAAGUAAAUGGGCAAAUACUAACCUUCUGUGAUUGCAUAGGAAGAUGCCAUGGGACUCAGGUGAUGCUGGGUGUGAAGGGGACCAAGAUGUCCCAGAAGGAAUUGUCAGCCUUCCACAGGGACAAGGAAGGAGAUGGGAAUUUAUCUGGUGGUAUUCUGCUGGAGGUGCCAGAAAUGGUGACUGGUGAUAGUUCGGCUGUGGAUUCUGGUGGGAUAAGUGAGAAUAAGGGUACUUAUUGUAAGAGGGUGAGAGCUGAGCUGCAGGAGAUGGGUCCGACACAGCUGAGGGCUAUAUCAACCAGUGAUCAGAGAACCCUCGGUGAAAGUAGAAAGUGGAUAUUUUGAGGCCUUUUUGAAGUUUGCAUCAUUGGAACAGAUGCAACAGAGAACCUGGGAGGAUUGUAUAGUCUUUAUAUCCCUAGAACCAUGUAUUACCAGGUAUACUCUACAUAAGAGUAGGUGGAGAAAGUGAGGUCUGCAGAUGCUGGAGAUCAGAGCUGAAUGUGUUGCUGGAAAAGUGCAGCAGGUCAGGCAGCAUCCAAGGAACAGGAAAUUCGACAUUUCAGGAAGGGCUUAUGCCCGAAACGUCAAAUUUCCUGUUCCUUGGGUGCUGCCUGACCUGCACUUUUCCAGCAACACAUUUUCAGAUGAGAGCAGGUGGAUCUAUACUGGAUAUUGGUGGCUACCCUAUCCUCUGAAAUGGAAACAGAUGCUGAGGAAGGGAAGGCAGGAGCUGGAUGGACUAGAGAAGAAAAGAGCAGGGUGGAAAUGGGAAGUGAAUUUGAAUUAUUCCAAUUCCAGAUAAGGGAAGCCCAAGUGUGGAUGGAGGCUAGAGUAGGACUGGAAUAAGGAAUGUUUCAUGUACCCUCACUAAGUGACCGGCAUAAUUGGGACCCAUGCAGGUAUGCAUGUGCACCUUUUUGACCUGGAGAAAGUGAGUUAGUGUUUUAAGUGAGAAUGAGCUUGGCCAGUCAAUUCAGACCAUUUUCCCUAGGAAGAAGCAGUGUGGCUCAAUGGUUAGCAUUGCUGCCUCAGUGCUAAGGAUACAGGUUCAAUUCCACUGUCAGGAGUUUGCAUAUUCUCCCACCUGGGUUUCCCUACAUGCUUGUUUCCUUCCACAGACUAAAGAUGUGCAACUUAGUUGGACUGACUGUCCUAAAUUUCCCAUAGUGCCCAGGAGUGUAGAUUAGGUGGAUUAGUGAGAAAUACAGGAUUGCAGGGAUUGAGUUUAGCUGGAUGGGUAAGAAUGGGAUCCUCUUCAGAGUUGGUGUGGACAUUAUGGGCUGAAUGGCCAGCUUCUGCACAUAUUCUCAUUCUAAGCCCUGAGCAUUUUGGUGGUCAGAUGGAAGAAUGGAUGUGUAAAGCAUUUACAUGUCCAUGGUGAAGUGGCAACAGCAGCAGCAUGCAACUGGAAAUUGUUUACAUGGUGUUUCAGAAUCAGAAAAAAGGUAGAAGGGACUGUCCAAGGAGUGGGGGAAAAAUUAAGCUGAGGUAGAAAGAGGAGUUCUGUGAGGCAGGAGCAGCCAGAAACAAUGGGUCUGCUCGGAGUCCUGUUCAUGGAUUUUGGGGAAGGGUGAAGUGAGCUGUGUAGGAUUGGGCACUUGUGCUGGGGGCAGUUGAAGUGGGAGAGAUCAUUCCGUGAAAUCAGAUCACAGACUAUGGACAAAAUGGCCUGGGUCAAUAGGUAUGAGCUAGCACUGAGCCUCUAAUGUAGAGGUUAGUAUAUCAGACAACAGCACUAUCCAUUGUCAACAGAUGUGAUUACAAAGUCAGGAUUGGAUCUGAGUAUGGAGUGCCAUCUGUUGGAGGUUGUAAUGGAUGAGAUGACUUCAGAUGUAUAAAAGGGGCUGGGGCAAGGUGAGUAGAAAGUAGCUGUUCCCUGAGUGGAAUAGUCAAUAACAAGGAAGCAUACUUUUUAAAGUGAAAGGCAGGUGGUUUAGAGGGGGUAUAAUGAAAACUCACUUGCAGUGCUUGGUGGGAAUCUGGAAUGUACUGAGUAGGUAGGAGAGGUAACCUCAAAUCUUUUAAAAUACUAUUUUGCUGCACACUUGAAAUGUCAGCUUUCAGGGCUGUGGGGCUGGUGUAAGUGGACAUCUGCAUGUACAGAUUGAAUGGGCUGACCAGCCUCUUUGCUGUGAUUCCAUGGUAUGGAACAAGUUAAAUUCUGUGCCAACACAAUGACCAUGAUCUAAUGUCAACCAUGAUUGAGAAACUGUCUUCUUUAAAUGUUGCUUACCUCUGCUCUUCAGUCAGUCUUUUGUCAAAGAAGCUGUUUCCCAUGCUCUUGUCACCAUUUCUGAGAGACCCUCCUUACUGACAUUCAAUAUUUCACCUUCCAAUUUAUCCAAACUGGAUAUUUGUCUCUCUUUCCAAUGGCGUUUUUGCUGCUGUCCAAAUGUUCUCAAGAAUUUAAUUUAAUCUUUCCAGUUUCUUGAUUUUCCCUCUAGUUUGAUUCAUUCACAUUGAGACUUUUGUAACUAUAGUACAACUGGAGCAGUAAUCAAAGGUCCCAGAGUCACAAGUUCAAAUGAAUUAAAGCUUAAAAUUUGAAGGAAGGCAAAUCAGUGAUGCAAGAAACAGAUGGUGAUGGACUGUAGUGUUAAAUGCUUGUAUGCUUGGGUGUGGUGUAAUGUGUAUAUAAAAUGUACUGUACUCUUAACAUGAGAAUAAAGUCUUUAAAAUUGGAACAA